rnacentral:hammerhead_ribozyme from 1 species
AUUGGCCACUACCCGCAGCCGGUGAGCUCUAAAAAGAGUGAAACCACUUGGGUCUUGUGGUAUUGGCCGAUAAGCGU